CGAUGAACCGUACAUAUUAAUAAUGUGUGGUGUGGGUUGUCGUCGGCAGCCAGCCAGGAUUCUUCCUCCUCUCCCUCGUUCCUCGUCGCCACCCUCUCCCUCCUCGUGCUCGCCUCCAUCUUCUUCUUCUACUCCUUCGUCGCCUCUCUCGAGAAGUUCCUCACCUCCCGGCGCCCUGUCUCCGCCGGAUCUUCCUCCGUCGCGGCCAACGCGGGCGGAGCCGCCGUAAAAGCGCUCGAUGACAAGAUCUGGGGGAAGGAAACAGGGAGGCUUUAUGGGGAUCCGGCGGAUCCGUGGUCGGGGCUGUCGGUGGUUAGGGUUUAUGUGUACGAGAUGCCGGCCAAGUUCACCUACGAUCUUCUCUGGCUCUUCAGGAAUACCUAUAAGGAGACGACGAAUUUGACGUCCAAUGGAAGCCCCGUUCAUCGCCUCAUCGAACAGGUUCUUGCCGAUUCCCUCGCAGAAAGAUCGGACUAGUGCAUUCGCCGGAGGCGCGGAAACCCUGGGGAUCGAGGGAUUUCUUGGAGAAAAUGAUUUGAUUUCGAGACAUUUUGUGGUUGUUGAGAUUUGCUGGAGCUGAGUUCUUGCUGCGGAAACCCUCGAAAUUGAGACAUUUUGUGGAGGAAACGCUGUAGUUAUUGACGUACGACAAACCCUUGUUUGAGGUUAUUGCCACCAGAUGAGAGAAAAUAUACCUUCAGUGAUACUGUACUGUGAUAAACUAUACCACCAGGAAGCAUGAGGUUAGCUGUUGAUAGGACUUGCUUACUGCUGGCCUUUCCAAUUGCAUCUUUUUUUUGUGCUGGUUUUCUUUUUUCCUUUUGCUUUCCUUUUGGUGAAAAGGAAAUUUAAAGAGUUAAAUUUAAAGCUAGUGAAAAGCUUAGCAGCCUCUGUAAUCGUUGCAACUGUUUUUGAUUUGUCUGCAUUUGAUCUAAUGUUACCUGACACAGGAUCUCAUAAUACUCUCUCUUUUUUUCUUUUAAUGAACGAUGAAGUGAGGCAUCUCCUCCAUUCUUAUUAAUCAUAUAAAAUAUAUUUACAAGGUAAGUUGGCUAAGUUAUAAAAGUGCAUUUAUGUAUGGAGGAUCUCAUAAUACUCAUAUUUGUUCUUAACUCAGCAGAUGGAUCCUAUAAGAAAACUGUGUAUUGAGGAUCUUAUAAUACUCAUAUUUGCUCUUAACUCAUAUAUGGAUCCAAUAAGAAAACUGUGUUGGUUUUGCUGCGAAAGAUUAAUGGCUUAUCCUCCUUAUGCAUAAUUGAGCAGGGGACCAGGCGUUGUAGUCCUAAUCCUAUCAUGGAUCAUCACCUUAUAUACUCUCUGGCAAAUGGUAGAGAUGCAUGAGAUGGUACCUGGAAAGCGAUUCGAUCGUACCAUGAGCUGGGGCAGCAUGCCUUCGGAGACAAGCUUGGUCUUUGGAUUGUGGUGCCUCAGCAACUUGUCGUGGAGGUGGGCGUGAACAUCGUCUACAUGGUCACAGGCGGAAAAUCUCUAAAGAAGUUCCAUGAUGUUGUCUACCCUGACUGCAAAAACAUCAAAGUCACCUAUUUCAUCAUGAUCUUCGCCUCACUGCACUUUGUUCUCUCCCAACUGCCCAACUUCAACUCAAUUUCAGGUGUCUCCUUGGCAGCUGCUGUCAUGUCCCUCAGGCAUAUACUCUUCUCUAUGAUGCCAAAGCACCUGAUUAUUCUCUCUGACUCUAUAUUGCUACAUGUUGGGUAACAUUAUUUUAGAAAUCAUUAGUGACAGUAUCUUUAUAAGGGGCUUGGUUAUGCUUACGAUUUGUACUUUUGAUCACUUAAAUGAUGAUGUUGUUGAGAAGCUGAUGGUUACUGUCCCUGGUUUCCAGCAGCUGUUCUUCAGCUGCAAUCAACACAGUAACCUUAAUUCAAUAGAAGGUACUGCCUAUGUUUUCAGGUUUUUGUUGUGGUGAUUACACAAUCUGAUU